rnacentral:rRNA from 1 species
UACGGAGGGAGCUAGCGUUAUUCGGAAUUACUGGGCGUAAAGCGCACGUAGGCGGCUUUGUAAGUUAGAGGUGAAAGCCUGGAGCUCAACUCCAGAAUUGCCUUUAAGACUGCAUCGCUUGAAUCCAGGAGAGGUGAGUGGAAUUCCGAGUGUAGAGGUGAAAUUCGUAGAUAUUCGGAAGAACACCAGUGGCGAAGGCGGCUCACUGGACUGGUAUUGACGCUGAGGCGGCGAAAGCGUGGGGAGCAAACAGG